GUGUUACCAUGAGAAAAUAUCUUGAACUUCUACUCUGUUGGAGACUUAUUAAAUGAAGAAACCACACAGCUUCCAACUCUGCAGUAGAUCUUUGGGCUGUAACUGAUAUUCAACAUUACCAUCCUUGUUGUAAACUGAAUGUCAUGUCCCUCAAAAUUCAUAUGUUGAACCCCUAACUUCCCCUGUGAUGGCAUUUAGAGGAAGCGCCUUUGGGGCAUAGUUAAGUUUAGAUAAGAUCAUAGAGGUGGGGGCCCUAUGGUGGAAUUGCUCUCCUUAUAAGAAGUGAAAGACCAAAGCUCUCACUCUCUCCCCACCAUGGGAGGACACAGCAAGAAGGCAGCUAUCUGAUAACCAGGAAGAGGGCCCUCACCAGGAACUGACUGCCAGCACCUCAACCUUGAUCUUUCCAUCCUCCAGAACUGUGAGAAAUAAGGUUUUGUUGUCUAACCCACCCACUGUAUUUUUUACAGAGGGCUGAGCUAAGAUACUUCUUAGUUAUGCAUUUUCACUGUCUUCACCCUUAAACAGCACCUCUGCUGGUCAGGUGGCCUAACUUUGGAAGACUCAGACUUUCAUCUGUGACAGUUCUAUAGUCACAGUCGCUAUGCCUUCUCAGGUCCUGGCUGCUGUGUUAUUACAUUGAUUCUCAAAGUUGUACAAGGGAAUAUCAAAAGACACCAAAGUGGAUUAGGAUUAGUUACUGUUAAAAAUAUUCCUUCUGCUUUACGUUCUACAAGAGCUCUACCUUUUUCUGAAGUUCAGAUCAAUUAUCCCUAUCAGGAUAGUGACUUCUCUUCAAGUCACUUGGGAAAAGUCCCCUGAAGUACACUGGAAGAAGCCACAACUUAAGUUCAUUGAAAUUUUUGCAGUGUCCCAGAGUCAAUGUAUUCUACCUUUGUCGACCAGAACUUCUGCAUCAUACAGUCCAAACUCGUGGGUCUGGAAAACUCAAACUCUGUAAAUGAGAAACUGGGGGUGAUGUUAAGUAAGUUAUUUAUAUUUUAAGCUCCUGAUUUUAGACUCAUGCAUUUUACCUACAGGGAAAAAAUCAUAUUAUGGUUGUUGAUUUAGAAUACACAUCCUAAAAAGUGACAUCCCAUCUUUGUAUGGUCUCAUGUCUGAGCUAGGCAUCCCAUUGAAAUCUUUAACUUAACAUGCCAUUGUUCCACUACGCACCACCCAGCAGCUAAUUGGUCUCCACGCAGAAUGGUGCUAUUAGGGGGACUCAGUGAUUGUCUUGUAUGUAUGGACAUCAUGCAAUAACAGGAGAUAAAUUUGUGUUGGAGACAAGGAACCCAUGCUACUGAAUUUGUGCAUAGUCUUCCUUACAUCAUCAUGUCUACAUGCACCUCAUGCUUACACUUGGGUUGUGUGAUGGUUAAUAUUGAGUGUCAACUUGAUUGGAUUGAAGGAUGCAAAGUAUUGUUCCUAGGUGUAUCUGUGAGGGUAUUGCCAAAGGAGAUUAACAUUUGAGUCCGUGGACUGAGAAAGCCAGAUCCACACUCAAUCAGGGUGGGCACAAUCUAAUCAGCUGCCACCAUGGCCAGAAUAAAAGCAGACAGAAAAACGUGUAAAGACCAGACUGGCUAAGUCCUCUGGCCUCCAUCUUUUUUCCAUGCUGGAUGCUUCCUGCCCUUGAAUAUCAGACUCCAAGUUCUUCAGCUUUUGGACUCUUGGACUCACACCAGUGAUUUGCCAGGGGCUCUUGGGCCUUCCACCACAGAUUGAAGGCUGCACUAUCAACUUCCGUACUUUUGAGGUUUUGGGACUCGGACUGGCUUCCUGGCUCCUCAGCUUGAAGACAAGCGAUGGUGGGACUUCACCUUGUGAUCCUGUGAGUCAAUUCUCCUAGGAAAUAUGCCUUCAUAUAGACACUCUCCUAUUAGUUCUGUCCCUCUAGAGAACCCCGACAAACAUGGGUCGCUAUCAACUGGACAAAUCAUUGUCAACUAAGUUUUUUAGUGCUUCAGCACUUCUACCAUAGUUAGUGAGCACUAAUGAAUGCAAACAUUUGUAUUACCUAAUACAUGGUCUGGUACAGCAUCCUCAGACGUGAACUAUGCUGCCUCGUGUAUCCAAAAAGGACUACCAAAUGUUGUGCUUCCAUCUUAUUGCAGUGUAGUAAGAAAUAUUUUGUCCUUUAUUUUGUAGAUGUCCCAUCAUGCCCUCAACCACCAAACACCUAAAUUUUACUGUUAUAAUCGUUGUCAGUGAUUGUACAUUGAUAUUCUGUUGUUCCAGCACCAUUCUUUUCCUAUUAAAUUACAUUGGCAAAUUUGAUUUAAAAAAAACUGACUAUAUACACUUGUAAACAUUUCCAGAUUAUGUUAUUCUUUUAAUCUAAAUAUGUGUCCUUAUGCCAAUACCCUACUCCAUCUAUUAUUGCAGUGUAUGAUAAGUCUUGAAAUCUAGUAGUGUAAGUUAUUCAACAUUGCCCUUAAUUUUUAAAAUCACUCUUGCUAUUUAAAAUUGUUUGUAUUACAUGGAAAUUUUAUAAUCAGCUUGCCAACUUCUACAAAAGUCCUGCUGAGAUUUUAAUUGGGAUUUUGCUUGUUCUGCAGCUUAAUGCAAGAAAAUUAUCUUAACACACAAUAUUGAAUUUUUCAAUCUAUUAACAUGUUAUAUAUUGCUGUUUACUUAGGAUUUUUUCACUUUUCCUGCCUUGUUUUGAACUGAUAUUGUGGUUUUAAGUAUUUUUUUUUUAUUUCUACUAUUGGCUUAGUAACUAUGCCCCACUUUUUGAUUUUGUAGCACAGUUGACCAUUGAACAACACAAGUUUGAAUUGUGCAUGUCCAAUUGUCUAUGGAUAUUUUUCAAUAAAAGUUACACGGAGUAC
rnacentral:lncRNA from 1 species